rnacentral:rRNA from 1 species
UACGGGGGGGGCAAGCGUUGUUCGGAAUUACUGGGCGUAAAGGGCUCGUAGGUGGCCAACUAAGUCAUACGUGAAAUCCCUCGGCUUAACCGGGGAACUGCGUCUGAUACUGGAUGGCUUGAGGUUGGGAGAGGGAUGCGGAAUUCCAGGUGUAGCGGUGAAAUGCGUAGAUAUCGUAAGGAAGACCAGUGGCGAAGGCGGCAUCCUGGACCGGCAUUGACGCUGAGGCGCGAAAGCCAGGGGAGCAAACGGA